AUUUGUUUGGAACUUGUCCAAUCGAUGUUAAUAAUCCUUAUCCUGCAUCAAGCAAUUGUUGUACAGUACAUAAUGUUUGAUUUUCUCAUGAGAGGAAUUCUUUAUAGCAACGUCUUUUCUUGAUCAAACCAUGAGACCUGCAGUAGUGACACGAGAUAACACUAAAAGGUAAGUAACGAAGUCUAAUUAAUCUUUCUUCCCAUAGAACUAUCAAUGAUAACCAACUGGUACAUGUUCAUAUAUGGCUCAAAUUUCUAAGCACUUUAGUUUAGGUAUUUAAGCUCUGGGACAUUAUAGGAUCAUAUUCCUUCACUAUCCAUUUUUCUAUGUUCACACAGACAUGCAUUAAUAUUUGACUGUGUGGCUGUUUCUUGACUUCAUAUGCGUCAAUCUGGGCUUGGUUUGUGACUUCAUGUGCUUUACAUUCCGUUGUGACAGUUUCUUACUGUUUGGGACAGAUUGUUGCAUUGCCUGACAUAUAUGUAUUCAUUUCUUCAAGGCUUUAAGUCUGGUUAGCACAACAUAUAAAAAAACUCUUAUCAUACAUUGAUGAUCAUAUUUGACAUCUCUUAAUCACUCACAGGAUACAGAUGCUCAUAUCCAUGAAUUUUAAGCUAAUUAAAGAGUUUCCGAUUCUGCAGAGAAGGAUUCAAGGAUUCUGUGUAAAAAGUUGCAUGGCAGCAUCAACAGGUAACUUGCAAAAAAAAAUCUGGUUUGACAGAAUAUUUAUUCUUAGAGGUGAUAAAUUACCGGUGAUGACAUGGAUUUUAUCUAAAUUUUAUCAUGACGCCAUUAUGGCCUUUCUCCUCAGUGAUUCUCUCACAUCAAAGAUUUAUUUCCACUGCUUUUAGGAUAACUUACUAAGCAUUGCUGAAGGUAAAUAACUAUACCUGGCUUUCAUAUAAUCGAGUACUUGCUCUAUUUCCUGCCUGCACAUUGGCUGAAACUUCUGUACUGGUGAGAAAUGUAGGUUUUCUCCUCAAGUUCAGCGUAGCACGUGCGGUCCUAGCAUGAGCAAUACAGCCUUGCAUAUAUAUUGCAUAAUAAGUUAAUAACCACAUGGUGAGAAAUAUUGCAAUGGAGCCGAUGCCAACCUGCUGAACAUUGAAAACAAAAUUCUUCGAUUCUACUUUCGUCUGUUGUAGCCGUGCCAGUUAGGGCUGGGCAUUCUGCUCUAGAAAACAACUAUGUGAGGUAUUCGGUCUCCCACAAAUUCGUUUUGGUCUCGGUUUUAACUGAAGUGAUCAAUAUCCUUCACGGCGGCAAUUGAGGCAUGGAAUUUUUGUCUCUGAUUGCUCUCUGUGCAGCUAGAUGCGGAUCAAAGAUGGAAGCUGCAACCUUGCACUCGCUAUUGGAGGUUGGUGCCGCUGUCUCGCCUGCCGUGAAGAGAGAAAGAAAGGACGCCGAAGGACACGAAGGAGUGAGAGGAAGGAGAUGGUUUCUGGAGCCGGGAUGGAGAUAGAUAUGGGGUGAAGAUAUGGUGUCUGAUGGCAUAAUAGUUGGAUGAAUCCAUUGUGAUUUUCACAGUUUGAAACAGUAACUUUAAACGUGUCUGCCUCAAAACAAAGACGUUCAUUUAGGUAGUUGACUGCAAAACAAGUUUGGAAAUUAUGCUCAAGAUUAUCAUUUCUAAAAAUCUUUAGAAAACUUGCUUGCUGCUUGUGGUUGCCGGUGAUGGGAGUCUGGAGUUGAGGUGUGGUAUGACCGACGCUGCCAGUAUUGGUGUUUUGGACAGAGCACGAUUACUCUAGAGAAAGGGAAAGCAGAUGUUAGCUAGGUUCAUGAGUGCACCUGGCAGUGAAAAAAAGAGCAUAGUUAUGCUUAACACAACGGCUCUUCUAACCUGAAUGAACACAGUACACACAAAAGAGGCCACCAGUAACAGACAUGUAUUCUUUAUGAAGGAAAGUAGGAAAUCAUGAUUCGCUACAUGCUUUGAUGGAAACAUUGAUGUGCGCCAAAUACUCGGCUGCUCUUAUUAUAAUUCGUAAUUGUGAAUAGAAAGAUUUUCUCAACUUUCCAGUAUUCGGUGGUGACCAUCAAGAAGGUGCAGCAGCGUCGACAAAUGGAGUUCCUUCUGUAUCCGCUGGGCAGGUUUCCUAUCUCAGAAGAGGUUAGAACUUAGAACCCUGUUGAACUGUUUGUUGGUUUGUCAGCGAUUAAUGUACCGACAACGGUGUCUGAACACCAAGCCGGAGUGCUGGCAAGGAAGGUGCCGUGGGGACCAUGUACCUGAGGGGGAGAGAGUCCUGUGCUAUAUAUCACAAUGGAGCUAUUAUUUCUGCCGUGCCAUGUCCUCUUUGAUUGUUUGGAGGCCGACCUCCAGGAGGGUUUGCAACUUGCCCUUCAAUGGUCACAUCUGCCGGCUCGUUUGGAGUGUGACAGCAGCGAUGCUACCAGCGCUGCUUUGCCUGACAGUUCUAUUCAUUUUCAUCAGAUUCAUCGAUUCCGGAAGCUUGUUGGAGAAAGGAAUUUUGUGGUUAGGAAUUUGUCUAGCUGUGAAGAUAUAACGUUCAGUUUUACUGACAUCUUGUUUGUGAUUUCGAUUUGUGAAUUAAGUGAUUGGUGUAAAGUGUAAACAUGCCACUUGGAUGCUGGUUGAAUCAUAUGAGGAUGAUAGUUCGCGUUAGGGCCUCUUUGGAUUGCAGGAAUUUAGAAACGUAGGAACAGAAAAAAAAACAAAGGAUUGAGCUACCACAUAUGGUGAAUUCAUAUAGGAUUUGGAAACACAUGAAUAUUUUGAUGUGUCUU